rnacentral:miRNA from 1 species
ACCUCCUGUGUGCAUGGAUU